rnacentral:rRNA from 1 species
CGGGGUGAGUAACGCGUGGGUAACCUGCCUCAUACAGGGGGAUAACAGUUAGAAAUGACUGCUAAUACCGCAUAAGCGCACAGGGUCGCAUGACCUGGUGUGAAAAACUCCGGUGGUAUGAGAUGGACCCGCGUCUGAUUAGCUAGUUGGCGAGGUAACGGCCCACCAAGGCGACGAUCAGUAGCCGACCUGAGAGGGUGAUCGGCCACAUUGGGACUGAGACACGGCCCAA